AGUGAACGCUGGCGGUAGGCCUAACACAUGCAAGUCGAACGGCAGCACAGUAAGAGCUUGCUCUUACGGGUGGCGAGUGGCGGACGGGUGAGGAAUACAUCGGAAUCUACUUUUUCGUGGGGGAUAACGUAGGGAAACUUACGCUAAUACCGCAUACGACCUACGGGUGAAAGCAGGGGAUCUUCGGACCUUGCGCGAUUGAAUGAGCCGAUGUCGGAUUAGCUAGUUGGCGGGGUAAAGGCCCACCAAGGCGACGAUCCGUAGCUGGUCUGAGAGGAUGAUCAGCCACAGUGGAAGUGAGACGCGGUCCAGACGCCUACGGGAGGCAGCAGUGGGGAAUAUUGGACAAUGGGCGGAAGCCUGAUACAGCCAUAUCGCGGGGGUGAAGAAGGCCUUCGGGUUGUAAAGCCCUUUUGUUGGGAAAGAAAAGCAGCAGGUUAAUACCCCGCUGUUCUGACGGUACCCAAAGAAUAAGCACCGGCUAACUUCGUG
rnacentral:rRNA from 1 species